AAGGCACUGAAAAUGCCUAGAUGAGUCUCCCAACUCCAUAAACA
rnacentral:tRNA from 1 species